rnacentral:rRNA from 1 species
UACGUAGGGGGCUAGCGUUGUCCGGAAUCAUUGGGCGUAAAGAGCGUGUAGGCGGCCCGGUAAGUCCGCUGUAAAAGUCAAAGGCUCAACCUUUGAAUGUCAGUGGAUACUGCCGGGCUAGAGUCCGGAAGAGGCGGGUGGAACUCCUGGUGUAGCGGUGGAAUGCGUAGAGAUCGGGAAGAAUACCCGUGGCGAAGGCGGCCAGCUGGGCCAGGUCCGACACUGAGGCGCGAAAGCGUGGGGAGCAAACAGG